rnacentral:rRNA from 1 species
AGUGAACGCUGGCGGUAGGCCUAACACAUGCAAGUCGAACGGCAGCACAGUAAGAGCUUGCUCUUACGGGUGGCGAGUGGCGGACGGGUGAGGAAUACAUCGGAAUCUACUUUUUCGUGGGGGAUAACGUAGGGAAACUUACGCUAAUACCGCAUACGACCUACGGGUGAAAGCAGGGGAUCUUCGGACCUUGCGCGAUUGAAUGAGCCGAUGUCGGAUUAGCUAGUUGGCGGGGUAAAGGCCCACCAAGGCGACGAUCCGUAUCUGGUAUGAGAGGAUGAUCAGACACCCUGGAACUGAGACACGGCCCAGACUCCUACGGGAGGCAGCAGUGGGGAAUAUUGGGCAAUGGGCGCAAGCCUGAUCCAGCCAUACCGCGUGAGUGAAGAAGGCCUUCGGCUUGUAAAGCCAUUUUGUUGGGAAAGAAAAGCAGCAGGUUAAUACCCCGCUGUUCUGACGGUACCCAAAGAAUAAGCACCGGCUAACUUCGUG